CCUACGGGUGGCAGCAGUGGGGAAUAUUGCGCAAUGGGCGGAAGCCUGACGCAGCGACGCCGCGUGGGGGAUGACGGCCUUCGGGUUGUAAACCUCUUUCACCAUCGACGAAGCCCUGUGGGUGACGGUAGGUGGGGAAGAAGCACCGGCCAACUACGUGCCAGCAGCCGCGGUAAUACGUAGGGUGCGAGCGUUGUCCGGAAUUAUUGGGCGUAAAGAGCUCGUAGGCGGUGUGUCGCGUCGGCCGUGAAAACCUGUGGCUUAACUGUGGGCUU
rnacentral:rRNA from 1 species